AUGAGGUUGUUCAUGCUAUAAAGUGAUCAUGCAAGUUUAUAUUUCUACAAUCAAAUAAGUAAACAACAAUAUGAGUGAAAUUAUCAAGUUUGUUUAUGCUAUGUUUAUUUUUAUUUUCAUGUUCACUGUGGCAACCGAAACGGAUGCAUUAUGUGAUUCUAAUCGAGAUUGUCGUGGUUAUCAUUGUAAUUGGCCUAAAUUUCCAAUCUGCGUAAGGAUGAUUUGUGAAUGCAUCUAAUAGUAUAAAUUAAAUUCAAAGCUACUUAUAUGGUACUUUUAAAAGUGAAUAAUUGUAUUUGAAAUUAUAUUGUUUAAACUUUUAUGAUAUAUUUCACACUUUAAUAUUUUUUCGUCAGACCUUUAAAUUUAAUUGAUUGACUAUUGUAUUUCAAAUUAUAAUGUUCAUAAUCUUACGAUAUAAUCCACACUUCAAUAUUUGCUCGUCAUGCAUUUUUAUGAUGGAACAUCAUAUGAUAUUUUAGAUUAAGUUUUUAGUUGUUUUCUUGGAAUUUGAAGGAAAAUUAGAAGUAAUUUAGAGAAGUAGUCAAUGGUUUGAGGAACUUUUUAUAUGGUUUUCAUUCGAGUCGUUGUAAUUCAGUUUUAUCCUAAAUCAUGCAACUCCAUAGGUGUUUUAGGUUUUUUUAGUGAGAAAUCAUGUAAAUCGGCAAAACAAGACAACAAGGGAAGGAUAUAUGAUAAGAAGAUUGAAGAUCAAUGGUUCUUAGAAGGUUUUUGAACACAAUUCAAUGUGAAGAAAAUUCAUUUAUAGUUCUAAGAUAUUGCAAGACGGAAGAACUCUCAAAAAAGGGACAAAAGAUGCAAAAUUUGCACACAGGGGGAUGUCUAAUGCUCCCUUGCACCCAGGCCACCUGCCCCUGCGCACGAGAAAGCAUUAUUUUCUAACUCAUGCACCCCUACGCCUCACUUAAUGCUCGUUGAUCUUGUGUUGCAGACAGGAGGUGCUAGUUACUUGUUUUUCAAGUUGGCUUAGUUGAAAAACCCUUUUUUUUUUCUUUUCCUACUCUUAACCCCUAAGUAAUUGUUAGGUUUUUAUAUUAUGUUGACCACAUUUUGUUAAAACAAGAUGUUAUAGCAAGAUGUUGGACCAGAUGUCCUAAACAUGUUAGUACGACAUCUUAGCUUAAGGUGAAGUAUUUUGUUUCUCAAUCUUGAAAGAUUUUGUUUAUGCGUAAGAUCACCGAAGAUUUGAUUGAAGAUAUAAUUCACGUAGCCUGUACUCCAAGAGGCGUAUGGUUCUAGAA